rnacentral:rRNA from 1 species
UACGGGGGGGAGCAAGCGUUGUUCGGAUUUACUGGGCGUAAAGGGCGCGUAGGCGGUCAGCACAAGUCAGUUGUGAAAUCUCCGGGCUUAACUCGGAACGGUCAGCUGAUACUGCUUUGCUAGAGUGCAGAAGGGGCAAUCGGAAUUCUUGGUGUAGCGGUGAAAUGCGUAGAUAUCAAGAGGAACACCUGAGGUGAAGACGGGUUGCUGGGCUGACACGUGACGCUGAGGCGCGAAAGCUAGGGUAGCAAACGGG